rnacentral:lncRNA from 1 species
UUUCCCUCCAUAUUUUUUAGGACAAAAUCCAAGAUUUCCUCCAAUCAGUAAAUCAGCGAAAACCUAUUCCUCUAUGAUUCCUUCAUCGACUUGAAUCAAAAAAUUACGAAAUAUGAUUCCUUCGUCGACUUGAACCAGAAAACGUAUUCCUUUGUUGAACUCGAGACGGACAAGAUGAUCUGUUGUCAAAAUCGCACAUAUAUAUAGGUCGUCGGCCAGCCUUUUCCAAGAUAACUGCAAUUCUUUCCGAGGUGUCUUCUCUAUUUUCCCGGCCAAUGCGAUUAACAAUUGAGUUUUGGAUUGUGCUGCUCGAUUAUGCUCUAUCAUCGUUGUUAGUAUUCUGUGUUAUUUCUGUUUCUCACUUCUCUUUUCGUGUAGGUUUGAAGAUUGUUUCAGAACUCAUUCUUCUCCUUCAGUUUCUUGUAAUUAAUGGCGAAGCAAUCUGCUUACCGGGUACGAAUUUAUGUCUUCAAGUGUUUGGAAUUGAGAUUUGUGAAAGUUCAACUUUUUCUGCAUAUGCCCGUUGUCAUGUAUUUAUUGGCAAAGCAAUCUGCGUACUAGGUACGAAUUUUUUCCUUCAACGGUUGGGAUUUGAGAUUUGUGAAAGUUUAAUUUUUUCUACAUAUGCUCGUUUUUUGUGAUAUCCGACUGCUGUUAAAUUGAUGUGGGAUGAUUGGGUUUAAUCCUCCUUUGUUCCGUGACUGUUUUUCUGAUUUUUUUCCUCUGUUUUAUGGUAUUCAUGUGAUUAUUCAGAAAUUUCUAAGUGUCAUCGAUGCGUUGAAUCUAAACACUAGUCGAGAUGUUGUGUGUAAUUUUCAUUGUCGUUGAUGCAUUGUGGUGUCAAAUCUUUAUAUUUUCAUUGUCGCCGAUGCAUUUGUUCCUUUCUAUAUUUUCUGUUAUUCUUUUCAUUAUUCAAAAAUUUUCAUUGCCAUUGAUGCAUAUCUGUUUCAAAUCCUCCGUAAUCGAUGCAUAUCAUUGUUAAAGUUAGUUGAAGAAAACUACGAGGUUGCAUCAGAAGCUUAUUCACAAUAUACUCAUAUUGUUGGUUUCUAGUUUCGAAUAAAAAGUGGGUGGUUGUCUUUCCUAUUUUUAUUUUUCAUCGUCCUUUUCACUGUUUAAAAGGUUCCCCUUCGUCAGGGAAUAGCGGGUAGGAAGGAAGAAGAAUACAGAAGGGUGGUUAAGAGGUUCCUUAUAGAUAUACUAAAAUAUGUAUCCCCGUUCUUUAUCCUGGUGUCAAGCUUCUUGUAUCACUUUUAUCUUGGUAAGAAAGUUUGAUGAGCAUUUUUUGCAUGAACUAUUGUCAACAAGUUGUUAAAAGUGAAAUUUAUGUACGUUUCUACAUUAAAUAAACAUGUAAUAAGUGAUCUGAAGGAGCUAUUUACACUUUGUAUAUCUUCUUUCACUAUCAUUCUUGUGUAGUAUAUGCCAUGUAUAAGCUUUUCAACUACAUUUCCAUGAUAGAGAUGCAAAUUCCUACAGGAGAUAAUAAUUUUUCCAACCAUUCUUGGUAUUGGCAUUGUGAAAAGAUGCUCAAUCGUGCUGAUUAUUCCACUAAAAACUAAGAAGUAACUUCUCCUUUUUGUUUAUUUUACACCAUUUUAUGGAAUUUCCCGAGCAGGUGGGAUCAUAUUCCUUGGUAACAUUGCAUCCUUGCAGUUUUAAUGUUUAAGGAGAAAUUUAAAUUUCUAGGUUUAAUUCCUUUACCUUGUCAAUAUGUAGUACCUGUAAACACUAGACAUUGAUAAGCUCAGUGAAGUUUUUGCCUUUUUUUCAAUUCUGUAGUCUUAUUCACUACCCAAUAUUCCUUCAUUCACGUUCAUGUAAACUACAUCCAGAUAGCAGUUGAAUAGUCUUUUAUGGUUAAGACUCUACACCUUUUAGAUGAAUGUGUUCUGCCUAUGUGUAUUUCCUAAAGUAAUACAUAAGACUUUCUUUUGUGGUUAAGACUCUACACCUUUUAGAUGAUUGUGUUCUGCCUAUGUGUAUUUCCUUAAGUAAUACAGAAGACUUCUGCCUGAGAUGACUUUUUGAGCCAUGGAAUUACCUGCUAAUAGGAUGGUUAUUUUAUUUUAGCUACAUUUUUCAUUAAUUCCACCUUUUUACUAAUGCAUUUUUAGCUCUUUCAGUAAUUAUAGAAAAGAAAAGACUACCUUGAACGUCAUGGACAAU